rnacentral:rRNA from 1 species
ACUCAAAGGAAUAGACGGGGGCCCGCACAAGCGGUGGAGUAUGUGGCUUAAUUCGAUGCAACGCGAAGAACCUUACCUGGCCUUGACAUGCACUAGACAGACGCUGAAAGGCGUUCUUCCUUCGGGACUGGUGCACAGGUGCUGCAUGGCUGUCGUCAGCUCGUGUCGUGAGAUGUUGCGUUAAGUCGCGCAACGAGCGCAACCCCUGUCCUUAGUUGCCAUCAUUAAGUUGGGCACUCUAGGGAGACAAACCCUCUUUGAGGGUGGGAAGGUGGGGAUGACGUCAAGUCAGGAUGGCCCUUACGGCCAGGGCUGCACACGUACUACAAUGCCCGGUACAGAGGGACGCAAUGCCGCGAGGCAAAGCAAAUCUCAAAAACCGGGCCCAGUUCAGAUUGUAGUCUGCAACUCGACUACAUGAAGUUGGAAUCGCUAGUAAUGGCGCAUCAGCUACGGCGCCGUGAAUACGUUCCCGGGCCUUGCACACACCGCCCGU